AUUGAACGCUGGCGGAAUGCUUUACACAUGCAAGUCGAGCGGCAGCGCGGGGCAACCUGGCGGCGAGCGGCGAACGGGUGAGUAAUGCAUCGGAACAUGUCCAUGUCGUGGGGGAUAGCCCGGCGAAAGCCGGAUUAAUACCGCAUACGCCCGAGAGGGGAAAGUGGGGGACCGCAAGGCCUCACGCGAUUGGGUUGGCCGAUGUCCGAUUAGCUAGUUGGCGGGGUAAGAGCCCACCAAGGCGAUGAUCGGUAGCUGGUCUGAGAGGAUGAUCAGCCACACUGGGACUGCGACACGGCCCAGACUCCUACGGGAGGCAGCAGUGGGGAAUUUUGGACAAUGGGGGAAACCCUGAUCCAGCCAUUCCGCGUGAGUGAAGAAGGCCUUCGGGUUGUAAAGCUCUUUUGUCCGGAACGAAACGGUUAGGCCGAAUACGCCUGGCUACUGACGGUACCGGAAGAAUAAGCACCGGCUAACUACGUGCCAGCCGCCGCUGUAAGAC
rnacentral:rRNA from 1 species